GGAAUUCUUUCAGUUCAUGAUUCAACUGGGCCAGAGGUGCUGAAAUUGAUUUUCGACACCCCAGCCUGUGAAGCGAGAUUGGUCACUUGAGAAAGCAGCAGUGGUAGCAGUAAAAUCAGUAGCAUGUGACAAAGAGGGUGCAAUGAUUUAGCAAGUUCUGUAUUUAAAAUGGAUUGUUGGAAUCAAAAAAGGCUUAAAUGUGCUUUGGAUUCCAUGGCUCUGUAGGAAUGUACGAGGAAUGCGAACAAACUCCUUGCUCCAAGAUACCUAGAGGAAAAUGCUUUUUGGAGUUUCUGUGCACACCCCCCCACAUGUACAGAGGUAUUGUCCAAGAUGAAAAUAACUGCAAAUGGUUAUGUGAAUUAGGUGCUGAUUGUCCAAACGCAGGCAGACCUUUUUUUUUUAGCGAUCCUGCCACUUUCACGGUCAUUUGCAUUGCAACAGCCAAAAUAGAAGGAUAUAAAUUUUGCAUCUGACCUCUGAUGACUGCAAAUAAUCAGAGUUUCUGAUAAAAUAAAGCAGAGUCACUGGUCAUGCUAACAAAACAUUGCAGUUCCCCUUUGAGCCUUGUAGCAUCUGUUCCUUAACACAAAUGGACUUGCUGCUGCUGGCAAGCAACAUGUUGGAAGUGGUUAACACAAACAGAUCGAGAUACCACUCACCACAUGCCCCAUCAGACUAGCAGGAGAUAUAUAAUCUGUCCUCCAGGCUCUCAUAUCCUCAGUAUAUAUGUAUUUUGUCAGAAACUGACAGAAGACCUAAUUUAAACCACAUCUUGUUAUUUUUUUAGUAGCUUAGGGAAGGGAAAGCAAGUAAAAAAUGUUGGGGAGAAAAUAUCCAUAAGCUCUGUCUAGGAUCUCUGGAUUAGUUUUCCCUAUUGCCUAGCAGCAAACUGUAAUCCAACAUGAAGCAUGGAAGAAUGUCUGUAGGAUGUUCCCUGAGAAAACUCCUGACAACUAGUUCAUCCGUAAUAAGAAGUGAAAAGGGAUAUUUUUCCCUAUUACUUGCUGGUACUAUCCUUCUCUCAUAUAUAAAAGUGAUACA